GAUGAACGCUGGCGGCGUGCCUAAUACAUGCAAGUCGAGCGAACGGACGAGAAGCUUGCUUCUCUGAUGUUAGCGGCGGACGGGUGAGUAACACGUGGAUAACCUACCUAUAAGACUGGGAUAACUUCGGGAAACCGGAGCUAAUACCGGAUAAUAUUUUGAACCGCAUGGUUCAAAAGUGAAAGACGGUCUUGCUGUCACUUAUAGAUGGAUCCGCGCUGCAUUAGCUAGUUGGUAAGGUAACGGCUUACCAAGGCAACGAUGCAUAGCCGACCUGAGAGGGUGAUCUGCCACACUGGAACUGAGACACGGUCCAGACUCCUACGGGAGGCAGCAGUAGGGAAUCUUCCGCAAUGGGCGAAAGCCUGACGGAGCAACGCCGCGUGAGUGAUGAAGGUCUUCGGAUCGUAAAACUCUGUUAUUAGGGAAGAACAUAUGUGUAAGUAACUGUGCACAUCUUGACGGUACCUAAUCAGAAAGCCACGGCUAACUACGUG
rnacentral:rRNA from 1 species